ACACACCUGUCUAUACAAGGUCCCACAGUUUAGUCGAAGGAAUUGUCUAUGGAGCUCUUGAGACAGGAUUGUGUCAAGGCACAGAUCUGGGGAGGUGAUAUUCCUCUUCUGGUGUACUAAUACUUUUCACUGUGCAUCUACACACCAGUCUGUGUCCUUUUAACUCUUCUUCCCAAUUUCUCCCCUCUCCCUCCCUUUCCUCCUCCCUCUCCUCUCUAGGUUUGCCAGUGAUGGGGCAGUCAUUUGCUUUGGGGUGUUCAUGCGGACCCAGGAGGGGGGCGGGCAUCAGAAGGUGGGGGAUAUGCUGCAGGUGUUGCCUAGUGAACGUUACAACGCACCCAUGGUCCCAGAAGACCGCUCCCUCACCUGCCCCGAGCCUGGAACCUACGUGUAGACGUGCUGCAUUUUGACAACACCUACAGCUUACUGCUGUUGAAAAACAUCAGCUAUACUGUGGAUGUUCUACUGCCAGACGGACAUGUCAAGAGUCCUAGGAGUAACAGAGCGGAUGGAUGGCUGGAGUAAACACACACACACAAAUAUGAGAUCUGGAUAGUGAAGAUAGCAAUGUACAGUAUACAGUGCUGUUUAAACACCAGUGUUCUCAGUUAUGGGCAUUGAUAUGACUAGUAACCCACAGUUAUAACUUUAAUAAUAAUUCGUAUAAGCAUUUCAUACAAGAGUCAGAAUUUAUUUGAGGUAGGACUAUAUGGCUGUGUCUUAUUGGAGCCUAUAUUGUGUGAAUGUAAUAUAAUGUAUUUUCACAGAAAAGUACUUUCCCGCGUCUGUAGUGACUUCUGUGUAUUUUAGGCUUCAUUAGACCAAUGUAAAUAUACAAAUUGUGCAAAUAGGGAUAUAAUAAAGGAAUGAUUAUAAAGUGGGAGAUGAA